CACAGACUGAGUCCAACAGGAGCCUGGGCUCACGGAGCCUGAAGCCCAGACCCAGCGCAGGAAUUACAGAAUUCAACAGGAAAAUGGUUCAUCUCAAGAGUUCAUCUCAGGAGACAAGGACUGUGCCGAGUGUCGCCUCCUGCCUGGAGUGACCCUGGGCGGGGACCCCUGGGUCUGCCGUCAGCCAGCAGAGAGAGGGAGCUGCACCAGCCUCUCACAUGAGCAGGAGCACCUAUGGAGCACCUGCUGCAUGCAGUGGGGGCAGGGAAAGAGGCCCAGGCGCCCGCCUGACACAUGUCCACCAUGUUCACCUUGCCUGUGUCACACAUGAGAAGACUGAGACUCAGUGAGGGCCCAGCAGAGCGGGUGGAGCUGGACACACAGCCCUCCUGAAGAAAUAACUCACAAUCUUCCUGUGCCCGGCUAUUGCCAGACCCUUGGCUGAUAGGAGAAUGGAUGUUAG
rnacentral:lncRNA from 1 species